rnacentral:lncRNA from 1 species
UACAUCCAUCAUACAAAAUACAAAUACAAAAUUCAAUAUUACAUAAAAAAUUACAUCAACAACUCAAAAUUACAAAACAACCCUAAAAUUCAAAAAAACACAAAUCUGAAAAGCCUUCUGGGUCUGCCUGAACAGUGCUGGGACAGCUGCUAGGUGCGUGAACAGUGCUUGGACAGCGGCGGCGCGUGGGUUCACGCGCCGCCGCGAGAACGCCGGAAAAAAACGGCUGGUCGGAUUCUGCUUCUUCCUCCUUUUCCCUCCCCGCAGACGGUAAGAAACCACAUCAUCUAUAACAAAAACAAACGCACAAACAGUCGAUUUUAAGCUUUUAUUUCUUUGUCUGUUUUUUAUUUUUUCGGAUCUGAUUUUUUUUGUUCUUUAUUUCUUCUCCGAUCUGCUCCUUCCUCUUCAUCUUCAGAUCGUCUUCUUUCGGGUUGAUCACGGUUCGUUGCCCGAGAUUUCAUCCCUGCAGCACAUCGGGUUGUUGGGCACCGUCGGCGCUGGUGGUGGCUGGAUCUCGGUCCGGAUCUGCUACACGGGUUUGAGUUGGAGGAGAACCGGUUGUUGAAGGAACCGUCGAAGAAGAGGUUGCUGAGGGAGAGGCUUCGGCGUUGAUGGAUCAGCCGGGUAGGCUGUGAGAGAUCGGGAAAGAUGGAGACCGAAGGAGGAGCAGCCGUUACUGAUGACGAAGGAGACGCUUCUGCUGGAUGCUUGGGGCUCGAUGGACGCCGGUCUAGCCGCUGGUCUGUGGGCUGGAGGGGACAGAUCGAUGAGGAAGAAGAAGGUGUGGAUCGCCAGUCACGGAUGGACUCAGUGGUGAGGGAAGAAGAAAGUGAUAUGGAGGAACGAUGGGGAAGGGAGGCUGGUUCGGGUGGAAGAAGAGAAAACUGAAAAAUCAAAUGGUGGAGGGGCUGUUUGGCCGGUUCUUUGUGAGGAAGAGGAAAGAAAAAAAAAAGAUGGCCGGGGAAGGAUGGAGAGGCUACAGGAGAAGAUGAGGUCGGCUGAGAAGGAGAAAAAAAAGAAUUCAACGUGGGGGUCGGGGAAGGAUGGAGAGGCUACAGGAGAAGAUGAGGUCGGCUGAGAAGGAGAAAAAAAAGAAUUCAACGUGGGGGCCGGCGGCUGGUUUUCAAGAGAAGAACACUAGGAAAAAAAAUUUAAAACCAGGAGGGAGGCGCCGCCGGCCCCCCUUUUUUAGUGGCUAGAAAGAGUUGGGUUUUAGGGUUUUGGUAUUUUUUCUGAAUGUCAAAAU